UAUGUAGGGGGCAAGCGUUGUCCGGAAUCAUUGGGCGUAAAGAGCGUGUAGGCGGCUCGAUAAGUCCGCUCUGAAAGCCCGGGGCUCAACCCCAGGAGGCGGGCGGAUACUGUCGAGCUAGAGUCCGGAAGAGGCGAGUGGAAUUCCUGGUGUAGCGGUGAAAUGCGCAGAUAUCAGGAGGAACACCAAUGGCGAAGGCAGCUCGCUGGGACGGUACUGACGCUGAGACGCGAAAGCGUGGGGAGCAAACAGG
rnacentral:rRNA from 1 species